CCAGGAUGGAGCUUCCAGGAUAGAGCUUCUUUUUUCCUCAUGGCCUUGACCACCUAGAAUGCCACUAGAAUGGAGGAGGGGUCUUCAAAAAGGUCAAGGAAAAUGGAUAUUAUGAAAAACUAUGCAUGGAUUUCAAAAGUUUUUGCACAAAAAUGAGCUCAUACUAAUUUGUUAUAACAUGUUUGAACAGGAUUUAGUUUGAGGCACUAAGAAGGAUAAGAAAUCAGUGUCAAAAAAGCCCCUAUUCUCUAAUAAUAGCAACAUAAAUUCUGCUAAUAAUGAAGCAAGAACAAACAUCAAAUUUAUGGUAAAACUUGGAUGGAAGAAUGGUGAAAUCAUUGAUGCUCUAUGAAAAGUUUGUGGGGACAAUGUCCCCAAAGAAAAACAGUUUACAAAUGGAUGACUUGUUUUAAGAAGGGAUGACAUGGUGUUAAAAAUGAAUCUUUUAGUGGCUAACCAUCCACAUCAGUUUUUGAGGAAAAAGUUCAUCUUAUUUGUGCCCUAAUUGAAGAGGACCAACAACUAACAGCAGAAACAAUUGCCAACAACAUAGAUGUCUCAAUUAGUUCAGUUUACACAAUUUUGUGUGAAAAACUUAAGUUGAGCAAACUUUCUACUUGAUGGUUGCCAAAGCUGUUGCACCCAGAUCACCUGCAGACAAGAAAAGAGUUUUCAAUGCAAAUUUUAACAACUGGGAUCAAGAUCCUGAAGCAUUUCUUCAAAGACUUGUAACAGAAGAUGAAACAUGGCUUUACUGGUACAAUCUUGAAAACAAAGCACAAUCAAAGCAAUGGCUACCAAGAGGUGGAAGUGGUCCAGUCAAAGCAAAAGUGGACCAAUCAAGAAUAAAGGUCAUGGUAACAGUUUUUUAGGAUGCUCAAAGCAUUUUGCUUUUUGACUUUCUGGAGGCCAAAGAAUGAUAACAUCUGCUUAUUAUGAGAAUGUAUUGAGAAAAUUAGCCAAAGGUUUAGCAGAAAAAUUCCUGGAAAACCAUGACAAUGCUUUUUCUUAGUCUUCUCAUCAAACAAGGGCAAUUUUGUGAGAGUUUUGGUGGGACCUAAUUAGGCAUCCACCUUACAAUCCUGAUGUGGCUCCUUCUGACUUCUUUUUGUUUCCUAGUCUCUCAAAAAAUUGGUGAAAAAUGCACCUGUUUUUCUUCAAUUAAUAAUGCAAUAAAGACUGCCUUGACAUGGUUAAAUCUCCAGGCCUCUCAGGUUUUUUUUUUUUUUUAAUACAAAGAAACUUUUAUUUGCAUAUCAAAGACUCUAAGAAAUGAUGACAUAAGGUUAACAGAGUUGGUGUCAAGACACAAAUAGGUUUGAAGUUAUAGAUGAUAAAUCACUUUGUUUCAUUGAACGUUCCCUUGAUUACGUUAGAGAGCAUCCCUGGCAUGCUCUCAGUUGAAUCUUAAGCAUGAUGUGUCCAGGUGAUAUAAUUGUAAUUCCUUUCUGUUAGUCCUUGUUAUCUCUCUUUUUUUUCUUUUUCUUCUUUUUCUCUGGACUAGGAAUUGUUGUGCAGUUCUUUAAGGAUGAACUGAAUGGCUGGUAUCAUUGCUUGCAAAAGAGUCUUGAACUUGAUGGAAAAUAAAGUUUGAAAAUAAAGUUGAAAAAUA
rnacentral:lncRNA from 10 species